CCCAGAGAUUGAAGUCAUCGGUAUGCCACAUGGCAUCCCUUUUAAGAGCCAUUUAGUUAUGGGCUGCCUGCACUGCAGGCAAUAGUCAACAGCAGCAACCAGAUCAAAAUGGUACCGCUUCAUCAAAGGUGAAUUAUUGCCUUUUGUUCUUGUUAUACCAUCCCCAGAGCUUGAAAGCAGCUGGGGUGGACCUUUUACUUUAAAAUAUCAGCAGGAAGCCUAAUUGCAGAAUCAUCAUCUGCCCCAGCUGCAACAACUACCACAGCUGCAACAACUACCACAACUGCCCCAGCUGCAACAACUACCACUACCGCCGAAGCAGCAACUACCGCAACAACCACCACAACAGAUCCCCCUAAAAAGUAUGAAUUCAAGAGAAACCUGCGCCGGCAUGUUCAAAGACUUUUUAAUGGAUUGUAUUGUGAGUUUGCAGUAUUACUAAUGAUGCUUUGUUUACUUUAUUGGGUUGUAUGUAAGUUUGUAGCAUAACUGAAGAUGAAUUAGUUUGUGUUGUAUUCAUUUUUAAUUUUAUUGGUUUCUUUCUUAUUGGUUACUUUGUUUUCAGACCAAACCACGGGAAAUAAGAAAAUUUUCAAUAUAAACGGCAUAGGACAAACCCAGAGAUUGAAGUCAUCGGUAUGCCACAUGGCAUCCCUUUUAAGGAGCCAUUUAGUUAUGGGCUGCCUGCACUGCAGGCAAUAAAUAGUCAACAGCAGCAACCAGAUCAAAAUGGUACCUGCUUCAUCAAAGGACAUCAGAACCAGUCGUGCCAGCAACAAGUAAAAACACAAGUGGUAAUGUCAGAGGUUUUGGGAUGAAUUCACCGCUGGUAUAUCUAGCCUGCCUGAAGGAGGAUACCGCACUGUUGCCCUAUCCCCAGAUCAGGGUGGAGAUACUGCUGUCAAUUCGUAUGUAAAACAUUUAACUAUACAGAUUAAAAACGUGCUCAAGAUUUUAGCAAAGUAUUAACUGACAGUAAUGAGUUCCACUGAGUUGAAAGUGAAUAAGAAGACUCGCCCAAUGUGUCUAAGCCAAAAGAGGUUGUAAUGGAAUUUGGCGAAAGAAAGUACUGUUCAUGUCUCUUGUAAUCAUUGACAAACCUUUAAAACACAAAACCUUGUUUGUGUUGCAACAACAAUCUGAAACAAUUAGAAUUUAGACCACAAUAUUAAUUAUGAAGAACAGCGGUUGUACUAUGUGAGAUUGUUGUGGAUAUUUUGCAUAUGUAGUGACCUCGUUGUCGUCUUUUUUCAUGCAGCUCAUCAUCAUACCAUAAUUU